GUCUAAGGCCAUAUCACCCUGAAUACACCCAAUCUCAUCUGAUCUCAGAAGCUAAGCAGGGUCAGGCCUGAUUUGUACUUGAAUGGGAGAACAUUGGCCAGUGCUGAUAUUCUUAAGUU
ensembl:rRNA 5S_rRNA 5S ribosomal RNA